rnacentral:piRNA from 2 species
UCCUGAUGGGAGGAGCAGAGGUGCUCAGGGU